rnacentral:rRNA from 1 species
CGACCGGCGCACGGGUGAGUAACGCGUAUCCAACCUGCCCACCACUUGGGGAUAACCUUGCGAAAGUAAGACUAAUACCCAAUGAUAUCUCUAGAAGACAUCUGAAAGAGAUUAAAGAUUUAUCGGUGAUGGAUGGGGAUGCGUCUGAUUAGCUUGUUGGCGGGGUAACGGCCCACCAAGGCGACGAUCAGUAGGGGUUCUGAGAGGGAGGUCCCCCACAUUGGAACUGAGACACGGUCCAA